CCAAAUGGGCCAGUGCAAAUCCUACUUGGAUAACUGUGGUAAUUCCAGAGCUAAUACAUGCAACUGAUAUCCCGAAGGCGGUGUUUGUGCUUGCUUGCCUUGCGCUGGCAUUGCUCUGACGGAUGCUUUUAUUAGACCAAGCCGCUGAGGACUUGAGGGUUCGCGCUCUCUUGUUUGACUCGUGUGAUGGUGACUCUGGAUAACCAAAUUCUGACAAGCGCACGUACUUCUCUUCUGAGCGAGACGGCGCUGCCACUUUCGAGUGUCUGCCUUAUCAGCUAUCAACCGUUCGUUAUGCGCGACCGAUGGCUUUGACGGGUAACGGGGAAUCAGGGUUCGAUUCCGGAGAGGCAGCCUGAGAGACGGCUACCACGUCCAAGGACGGCAGCAGGCACGCAAAUUACCCAAUCCCAGCAAAUGGGGGAGGUAGUGACGAAAUCUAACGAUGCGGGCGCCCUUUCUGGGGCCCCGCAAUCGGAAUGGGCACUUUCUAAACAACCUGUUGAGAACCUACUGAAGG
rnacentral:rRNA from 1 species